AACGAACGCUGGCGGCAUGCCUAACACAUGCAAGUCGAACGAGACCUUCGGGUCUUGUGGCGCACGGGUGCGUAACGCGUGGUAACCUUCCCUUAGGUUCGGAAUAACUCCCCGAAUGGGGUGCUAAUACCGGUUAAUUUCUUCUGACCAAAGAUUUAUCGCCUUUGGUUGGGCCCGCGUUGGAUUAGCUUGUUGGUAGGGUAAAAGCCUACCAAGGCGAGGAUCCAUAGAUGGUAUGAGAGGAUGAUCAGUCACACUGGGACUGAGACACGGCCCAGACGAGUACGGGAGGGAGGAGUGGGGAAUGUAGGAAAAUGGGGGAAAGGAUGAAAAAGCAAUGACGGGUGAGUGAUGAAGGGAUGAGGGAUGUAAAGCUCAUUUAAACGGGAUGAUAAUGACAGUACCGGGAGAAUAAGCAACGGCUAACUACGUG
rnacentral:rRNA from 1 species